rnacentral:rRNA from 1 species
AUUGAACGCUGGCGGCAGGCCUAACACAUGCAAGUCGAGCGGAUGAAGGGAGCUUGCUCCUGGAUUCAGCGGCGGACGGGUGAGUAAUGCCUAGGAAUCUGCCUGGUAGUGGGGGAUAACGUCCGGAAACGGGCGCUAAUACCGCAUACGUCCCGAGGGAGAAAGUGGGGGAUCUUCGGACCUCACGCUAUCAGAUGAGCCUAGGUCGGAUUAGCUAGUUGGUGGGGUAAAGGCCUACCAAGGCGACGAUCCGUAACUGGUCUGAGAGGAUGAUCAGUCACACUGGAACUGAGACACGGUCCAGACUCCUACGGGAGGCAGCAGUGGGGAAUAUUGGACAAUGGGCGAAAGCCUGAUCCAGCCAUGCCGCGUGUGUGAAGAAGGUCUUCGGAUUGUAAAGCACUUUAAGUUGGGAGGAAGGGCAGUAAGUUAAUACCUUGCUGUUUUGACGUUACCAACAGAAUAAGCACCGGCUAACUUCGU